rnacentral:misc_RNA from 1 species
UCUCCGUAGGUGAACCUGCGGAGGGAUCAUUACAAGUGACCCCGGUCUUACCACCGGGAUGUUCAUAACCCUCUGUUGUCCGACUCUGUUGCCUCCGGGGCGACCCUGCCUUCGGGCGGGGGCUCCGGGUGGACACCUCAAACUCUUGCGUAACCUUGCAGUCUGAGUAAACUUAAUUAAUAAAUUAAAACUUUUAACAACGGAUCUCUUGGCUCUG